UACGGGGGGGGCAAGCGUUGUUCGGAAUUACUGGGCGUAAAGGGCUCGUAGGCGGCCAACUAAGUCGGAUGUGAAAUCCCCAGGCUUAACCUGGGAACUGCAUCCGAUACUGGAUGGCUUGAAUCCGGGAGAGGGAUGCAGAAUUCCAGGUGUAGCGGUGAAAUGCGUAGAUAUCUGGAGGAAUACCGGUGGCGAAGGCGGCAUUCUGGACCGGCAUUGACGCUGAGUGAGCGAAAGCCAGGGGAGCAAACGGG
rnacentral:rRNA from 1 species